CGCCAGACUCCUACGGGAGGCAGCAGUGGGGAAUAUUGCACAAUGGGGGAAACCCUGAUGCAGCGACGCCGCGUGAGUGAAGAAGUAUUUCGGUAUGUAAAGCUCUAUCAGCAGGGAAGAUAAUGACGGUACCUGACUAAGAAGCCCCGGCUAACUACGUGCCAGCAGCCGCGGUAAUACGUAGGGGGCAAGCGUUAUCCGGAUUUACUGGGUGUAAAGGGAGCGUAGACGGCAGUGCAAGUCUGAAGUGAAAGCCCCGGGCUUAACCCGGGAAUUGCUUUGGAAACUGUACGGCUGGAGUGCUGGAGAGGUAAGCGGAAUUCCUAGUGUAGCGGUGAAAUGCGUAGAUAUUAGGAGGAACACCAGUGGCGAAGGCGGCUUACUGGACAGUAACUGACGUUGAGGCUCGAAAGCGUGGGGAGCAAACAGGAUUAGAUACCCCUGUAC
rnacentral:rRNA from 1 species